AUCAUUAAAAACAAAACAAGCUUCUCCGGACAGGAUGUCCCAUUGAUGUGCUUGUGCUUAUAGAAAAAGGAGAGUAACUGCUAUUUAAAUCGAGUGUAAUAUCAGCAAAGUAAUCGAUGUGUCGUAUAGCAAAAUGACAAGGAUUCACAGUUGCCUGCCAUACCGCUUUAAGGGAAGAAGAUCAGCCCUUUUAGGAUCAGCAGUUUCCUCUUUGAAAUCCGGCACUGCGUUGCAUGAAUCACUGUCAUUGUUUGGUGUGACCGGGUUGCACGCUGGAAUCUUACUCUAACAUUUUCAUAUUUUCACGGCGAACAAAAAAUACUAAAUAAACCAUGAAACCGAAGCCAAUAUGGGGAGCCAUAACCAGCAUGUUUGAAAACAUCGAGCCCCGGGACAGGCAGCCUGGCGAGGCCGGGUACCUGCAGCAGGUAGACGGUGAGAACAGCGGCGCUCCGCUCGACUGCCAAAGGCAGCAUUUACUGGUGGGAAGCAGAGUAAGGGAAAGAGACAGAUGUGCGAGAGAAAUACAUUUUGCUUUUUUACCGGAGAGAUACGAGCCUUUGGUAGAAGAAGACGAAGCAAGGGAGAGAGCAAAAGAAGAGAAGAAGAGAAAAAAGAGGGAAAAGUACAAGAAGUACAGGAAGUUUUUUUCUCAGUAGAUUCGCCCCAGUCUGAGUAAACAUAUUUCGUGAAAUCGAACGUUGGAAAGGCCCUGAGGUUCAGCUGGAAAUGCCUGGUUUCUGGUCUGCAAGGAUUCACAGUGGGAUACUGCCUGUCGCUGUCCGCGGCAGCUGUGCUUAUCCCAGAUGUACAUAGAGCGUGGCCCCCCAGCUGAGUCCAUGCACCAUUUUCUCAAUGAUUGAUGUUUACUUGGCGCACUACCCUGCUGAUCUUCAGCAAGCAUCCACAAUCUUUUUAGAACACAUUGUCACAUAUCCCCCCGAUUUUCUGAUAAUUAGUCAUUAGCAUCAAGAUUGAACUCUACUCCAACUUGGACUUGGACAAAUCUUUGUCCGGAAUGAUCUGAAAUGGUGAGAAAGGUAAAUGACUAUUCCCUGUGAGAUGUAUGGGUUGUUAUUGCGAUGCACAAUGUUUCAGAGUGAUGUAAUUCAACGGAGGUUUUAUGGCAUGUUGCCAGUGCACAAUUGCAAUGAUUAAUUUGCAUUGCUGAAUGAUUCAUAGAGUGGCCCAGCUGAAAGCGAAGUAUGUAGCCAAUGGAAUUUCGAGAGGGUCUCUUACUUUGACGUGGAAGCCAACUGUGGUUCAUGAAUGGAGGUCUGGUUGGCUGGGAGAAUCUAAGGUGAAGGAAUAAGGAAAGAUGUAUAUUUAUAUAGGGAUUGAAGAAUGUAAUGAACUUGGGGAGCUGAGGGAGGAAAAAGGUGAAGUGGAAAUUCCAGACACCCAUCUGCAUCCUGUUGACAUCCUAUCUACUUCCCGCAUAAGGCCGUUUCAGCACGUGGUAUUUGGCAAAGUCCUUAACAAACGCGAGCGUGGAUGUAACCAGCGGAAUUAGCGGUGUAUGGUUAUCCUGAGCCACCCCCAGGAUGCACUUCUGCACAGCUGUGUGUCUGGAUGUUUGCUGAUCAAUUCUGAAAUCUAUACCGCAAGAAAACUGACACUGUACUUUACAAACCGAUUGCCUUUAAAUGUUAUUUUUUUUUGCUAUGUAAGAAACGUGGCGAUGUGUAACAUCAACAGCAGUGCUGUGUUGACUAAUAUACUGGGUAUUAUGAGAUCUCCCUCCUUUAUCUGAUUCAUAUUAAGACAUUAUGGAGAAGAGAUACAAUUGUACUGAAGAUAAUGAUCUUGUGAAAUACUUCACUUUGAAUGUAUUAUUCACACAUGUAUUUUUAUCAAAUGGGAAAGACUAAAAGAGUCUGUGAGCAUGGGGGUCCUGUGGUUUGCAGAGAGGUUGUGGCCUUUAGCACAAAGUUACUGUGUGUAAUAUGACCCACUCAGUUUUGUACCCUUUGUAUAUAUAUAUUUCAAAAUUUAAAUGUCCACUUAGGAGAUUUGCACACCAAACAAUUUACUAUGCAUAGAUGUAAAGACAUGUUGAUGUUAAAGUUAGAAACACUUAAUGUCAUGUCAAUUAAAAAUGUUUUGAACACACUGUAUGUGAAUGGCUGAUAAGCCCUGAUCUUCACUAUAUUAUAUACCUGUGGUCAGAGUAAAUCCCAAAACGGAUGCCAGUCAGUUUUAAAUCUUAGGAAUGGCUCCGCUGUUGUAUGUUGAACAGUAAAAAUUAAACUCUUCAAAUGUAAUUUGGUGAUAAUUCUCUGCUCUGCUGAUCAAAAUUUACUCCUCACAUUUUCAGCACAAUGAAUGAAGUUAGUCUUAUUUUUAUAGAGGAACUUGAAGCGAUUGGCAUCUGUAGGUUCUGAAAACACUAUGGUCCCCAGGAUAUUUUGACAUUUCUGUGCACUACCAAGGUCUUAUCAGUCAUCAUACUGUUUUCUGACCAUAUUUCACUUACAGUCUAAGACUGAGGAAUAAUUCUAGGCUUGGGAUUGUGAGGUAUUAACUGCCUGUGUACUAAACAGUUUGUGUGCGUCAUAAUUAUCAAGAUAAAUUAAUACUUAAAUGUAUUUUAAAUGGAAUCAUUUGAGUUUCAAAUCUCCUUUGGUUUAAUGUAGCACAUUUAUUAUUUUUUUAAUGUUAAACGUUAACAUGCAUAUUAAACCUUUUAAGCAGUUA